AUUGAACGCUGGCGGCAGGCUUAACACAUGCAAGUCGAGCGGGGUGAUGUAGCUUGCUACAUUACCUAGCGGCGGACGGGUGAGUAAUGCUUAGGAAUCUGCCUAUUAGUGGGGGACAACAUUCCGAAAGGAAUGCUAAUACCGCAUACGCCCUACGGGGGAAAGCAGGGGAUCUUCGGACCUUGCGCUAAUGGAUGAGCCUAAGUCAGAUUAGCUAGUUGGUGGGGUAAAGGCCUACCAAGGCGACGAUCUGUAGCGGGUCUGAGAGGAUGAUCCGCCACAGUGGGACUGGGACACGGCCCAGACUCCUACGGGAGGCAGCAGUGGGGGAUAUUGGACAAUGGGCGAAAGCCUGAUCCAGCCAUGCCGCGUGUGUGAAGAGGGCCUUUUGGUUGUAAAGCACUUUAAGCGAGGAGGAGGCUACCGAGAUUAAUACUCUUGGAUAGUGGACGUUACUCGCAGAAUAAGCACCGGCUAACUCUGUGCCAGCCGCCGCCGUAAAAC
rnacentral:rRNA from 1 species